GGCAUGUUUUAUACAGUUUACUACCCCUUCACCACCCCGGACUGCAGUCCAACUCCUUUUGCUGUGAAAUAUCUUUUUACAUUAUUAACCAGAAAGCGGAUGGUUAAUUAAAGUUAGCUUAAUUCCCCUUUCUUGGACCGCCUAUAAACUAAGAAGAAUAAAGAAACGAUUACCGUUAUUAUUCAUUUUUGUCGACUAAAAAACGGUCGCUCCUGCAGAAUAGAAGUUCUGUCACAUCUUGCAGAAACGAAAAAACGGACCACAAAGAUCAGUCAACAAGGUCAACUUUGAAUAAGUUUCUUUGUUACCGUUUGCACAGUGAAGGGAACUUGCAGAUAAAAACACAACAGGCUCAGUAGCCACGUUUCAACGGCAUCAUCCUCCGCUUCUUCUACGCAGUGGUCGAACUUUUACGCACUGUUGUCCCGGAGUCACCUUUAUCAUGACGCGAAGAUCUUGUGCGAUAUAUGGAGUAGGGAUUGUUUGCGCCAGUCUACUGAUCAUCGGGAUUGGCUUGGUUGUGACUCAAGUAUUUCAAACUUUGAUCCAUAACCGGUUAAAAAAGGAGAUAACUCUGACAGAGGGUAGUCGUGUGUUUGAGACAUGGAAAAACCCUCCUCCUCCCGUCUUCAUGCAAUACUUCUUCUUCAACGUUACCAACCCAGAUGAGUUCCUGGUUGGAGCGAAGCCUAUCGUCUCUCAGGUCGGCCCUUACACAUACAGGGAGUACAGGCCCAAAGAAAAUGUGACGUUUGUAGAUAAUGGGACCAGAGUGUCUGCCUACCAACCCAAGACAUUUGUGUUCCUGCCAGAGCGCUCUGUAGGUGAUCCUGAUUAUGACAUGAUCACAACCAUCAAUAUCCCAGCUGUGGCGGUGAUGAACAAGGUGAAGGAUAGUUUCUGGAAGAGUUCGAUGGUAUCUAUCUGGAUGAACUCACUUCAUGUCGGCAUGUUAAUGACACGCUCCGUCAACGAGCUGCUGUGGGGCUUCAAGGACCCUCUGUUGUCCCGCAUCCAUCCCAUGAACCCAGAGAUCGACGAGUACUUUGGCCUCAUGUACAAGAAAAAUGGAAGCAAUGAUGGUGAAUUUGUUUAUCAUACCGGGGAGGAGGACUUCAUGAACUACGGCAGAGUAGCCACGUUUAGAGGAGAAAGUGAACUGAGCCUGUGGACGUCUGAGCAGAGUAAUAUGAUCAACGGUACAGACGGCAGUGCCUUCCACCCCCUGUUGUCCAAGACGGAGAGACUGUACAUCUUCAGUCCUGACCUGUGCAGGUCCAUCUUCAUGGAGUUUGAGAAAGAUGUGAAGGUGAAGGGGCUCCCAGCGUAUCGUUUCACCCCUCCUCGUGAUGUCCUGGCAAGCAAGGAGGAGAACCCAGCCAACGAAGGAUUCUGUGUCUCCCCCAAAGAGUGCCUGGGCACCGGCUUGCUCAAAGUCAGCGUAUGCCGAAAAGGUGCUCCAGUUGUGAUGUCCUUUCCUCAUUUCUACCUGGGAGAUGAGAAGUACUCUAACACCAUUGAAGGACUGGAUCCUGUCAGAGAGCAUCACCAGACCUACCUGGACCUGAACCCGACCACUGGUGUUCCUAUUCGGGCCAGUAAGAGAGCUCAGAUCAACAUCCUCAUCAACAGAAUCUCUGGCUUUCCGAAAACCAAAUUCCUGAACGAGACUAUCUUCCCUGUCAUGUUUAUCAAUGAGACGGUAGUGAUCGACGACGUGUCGGCGGCUAAGCUCCACAAACUGUUGCUGACGGUGAUGCUGGUGUCCAACUCCCCUCUCGUCCUGGUUGGUCUGGGGGCCAUCCUGCUGCCGGUGUUCAUCGGCCUCAUCGUCUGCGAAUACAAACAGAAGAAGUCAACAAAGGAAGACACAUCUUAUUCCCCCGUGAGCAACAAGGAGGGUGAUGAAAAAAAUGGCAGCAGCUACGUUGCCUUGACUCCCGUUAUUGACAAGUCUUGAGGAGGGAAUGGGAAGGGUUUAUGGAGAGACAGAUGUAGGAUCUUAAUAUGAACCAGUUUGCUACAGCAGUAAAAUAAUCCUGCUGCAACAGGAAAUGUGAAUUAUGUGGAUUAUAAUUAAUGGACAUUUUUGUAGGGUUUUUAAAAGUCAAAAACACUGCAAGUUUGCAAUUCUCAGAAACACAAGAGUGAUCAAAUUACGAUCCUACAUCUGUAUGUCAUAUAUAUCAGUGUGAGUUGCUGUUCAGGGCUGGAUCGUUGUAAAUCAUUGUGGCACUAGUUAGACUACUUUGAUAUGUCUUCGUUUUUUUGUUUUGUUACUUUGUUUAUUUGGAUCUGGUUCAACCCACAAAAUGGGGCUCAUCUUCCCGAAGUCCCUGUUAACCCACAAAAUGGGGCUAAUCUUCCCGAAGUCCCUGUUAACCCACAAAAUGGGGCUAAUCUUCCCGGAGUCCCUGUUAACCCACAAAAUGGGGCUCAUCUUCCCGAAGUCCCUGUUAACCCACAAAAUGGGGCUAAUCUUCCCGAAGUCCCUGUUAACCCACAAAAUGGGGCUCAUCUUCCCGAAGUCCCUGUUAACCCACAAAAUGGGGCUCAUCUUCCCGAAGUCCCUGUUAACCCACAAAAUGGGGCUAAUCUUCCCAAAGUCCCUGUUAACCCACAAAAUGGGGCUAAUCUUCCCGAAGUCCCUGUUAACCCACAAAAUGGGGCUCAUCUUCCCGAAGUGUUGACAUACAGUACAUGGCCAAUUUGACCAGCUGUUUCAAACAUUAUAUAAAAUAUCAAUUGUUUGAUACCUGUUAUUCAACAUUUUGUAAAAAACAAAAGGCUUUAUAAAUACAUUUGAUUGAUUGAUUGAUUGAUUGAUUGAUUGAUUGAUUGAUUGAUUGAUUGAUUGACAGAUCUAAUGCAGUUCCACCCCCGACACCCUCAAACCAACUGCUAUUAGGAUGUUGACUAAAGUGGAGCUGAUUGAAUUGAACCCUUAAUCUGUAUCUAGGAAACCACCCCUGGGUGUGUGUCCUAAACAUGUGUCCUUAAGAUGUGUCCUUAAGAUGUGUCCUAAAGAUGUGCCCUAAAGAUGUGUCCUUAAAAUGUGUCCUUAAAAUGUGUCCUUAAGAUAUGUCCUAAAGAUGUGCCAUAAAGAUGUGCCCUAAAGAUGUGCCCUAAAGAUGUGUCCUAAAGAUGUGUCCUUAAGAUAUGUCCUAAAGAUGUGCCAUAAAGAUGUGUCCUAAAGAUGUGUCCUUAAGAUAUGUCCUAAAGAUGUGCCCUAAAGAUGUGCCCUAAAGAUGUGUCCUAAAGAUGUGCCCUAAAGAUAUGUCCUAAAGAUGUGCCCUAAAGAUGUGUCCUAAAGAUGUGUCCUUAAGACGUGUGUACAUUAUUCAGGUAUCAUUCCAUUCUCAGGGGCACUAUGCUAGAAACGACACACCUUGUGCAUCACGAGAUGGCUUCAAAAGUGAUAAUUAUUAUAAAACCGUAACGUGUCAAAGAAGGUCAAAGAAGUGGUGAGAUGCUCUACUGACCAACGAAGGCUAAAUAUUUAAUGUAAUGAGCGUGUCUUCUUAAUGAAUUUGGAUUCAUAUUAAAACUAACAACAACAAAAAAUUGAUUUGUAACAUUAGCUAUAAUCGUUAAAUUUCUACGUAUUUUAUUUGUUCAUGCACUGUUUAAAUUUAUUUUCAAACUUGGUUGAUUGGUUGAAUAUGUUCAAAUUAGUGAACAAAAAUGCCAUCUGACUAUGUUUAUGUUAUUGAACAUAUCCACAAUACCAUCCAUACCUAAUUCAUGGAUCACCUUCACUUUGAACUUGCAUGUGGUGAUAUUUUGCAAGUGAGCAUUUUUGAGUGUUACUUAUCUGAUAUUCCAAAUGUGACAUCUGCCUACAUUCCUUAGGUGAGACGCCUGUGCCCCAGUUGGCACAUUCAUUAGGUGAGACGCCUGUGCCCAGUUGGUAUAUUCAUUAGGUGAGACGCCUGUGGCCAGUUGGCACAUUCAUUAGGUGAGACGCCUGUGCCCAGUUGGCACAUUCAUUAGGUGAGACGCCUGUGCCCAGUUGGUACAUUCAUUAGGUGAGACGCCUGUGCCCAGUUGGUACAUUCAUUAGGUGAGACGCCUGUGCCCAGUUGGCACAUUCAUUAGGUGAGACGCCUGUGCCCAGUUGGCACAUUCAUUAGGUGAGACGCCUGUGCCCAGUUGGUACAUUCAUUAGGUGAGACGCCUGUGCCCAGUUGGCACAUUCAUUAGGUGAGAAAAAUACCACAUCCUUGGCUUAUUGCUGCCAUUGUGAACGAGCCAACAGACCUAUGGCGUUCUGUAUACUGCGUAAAGCAAGGACAGGUUUUUUUUAUUGAAUUGUUUCUGAGGCUUUUUGACACGUCAGACAAUUGUCCUGUGCCCUAUAGUGGGGGGCUUCUUGUCUGAAACAAACGAAUUAAGGCAAUGAAAAUUUGUAAUUUGAAGAUCAGAUCCCUUUAGAAUGUAUUUACAGAAUAGUGUUUUUGUUUUUACUAAUAGAAUAGAGUGCGUACUAAUGUGCAUUUCUGUUAUACAGGGAAGUCCAUAUGUCGUCGUGUUUUUUUUGGUUGAUAUUUUUUGACAGAAAAAAAUGGACUGAAACUUUUAACUCAUGUAUCAGGUUCUGAAUGAUCUAAAUGUAUUAUCAUCACUACAUUAUCUCUACAUUAUCUCUGCAUUUCCAUGGCUGCUGACGAAACCAUAACUUCAGGUUUUGAUGCAAGGUUGUCUUCCUAAUGGCAAACAUUUUGGGAUCAAAGAUAAACAUUUAAAUCGUAUACCAAACUACUGGAAUUGUAGACAUUUUGCAGUGAUGUUGAAAGCCAAAUUGUGUAUUGCUUUGUAUUGUGAGACAUUAAUAGGAGCACAUUAGCAGACUGUCUCUCUAGAAAAUGUAUUGAGAGAAAGGGCUCCUUGGAUAUCUCAAUAUGUUUAUUUUCUAUGGCAUCUCCUAAUGACACUAUAUACAUUUGUGUUAUGUUUAUAAUAGCCUUUGUGCAACUGCUUAACUGCUGUAGUUCCAUGGCGUAGUAAUGCUUGGUUAAUUGUUGAAAUUGAAGAUUCUACAGGACUUGCUUGAAUGAUUAUUGCACCGGAAUGACUGUCUGAACGUAGCCUGAGUGCCAAUGUGUUUGUGUUCUUGCCUAGCAACAACAAAAAAAAGAACAUGACAAUGAGUGACAAGGAGUUGGCAUGGUAGCGCCAACAAACACGGCAAUCAGGCUAGGCUGACACCUCAAUGUUGAAAUCAACGCGUCAGAUCCCAUUUCAGUGCUCUGAGCUUAACUAUUGAUGCAUUACUUUGUAACCCAGCUGACUGUUCGUAUUAAUAUGAUAUGCCAAACAAAAGUAGCAGAACUUUUGCUUUGUUAGAUUACUUGUUGUGAAUUUAUUAGAUACUGUUUGACUUGUUACUCACUUGUUUAUGAGAUGCCAUGCACUUACGUACUCAGUAUUAGUUAUUCUUGUUGAAAAAUAGAAAAGCAGCAAUAGAAAUGUAUAAUUUGAAAAAUGAGUAAAUGUUAGCGUUUUCUUCUCUAUUAUAAGUCUAAUCAGUCAUUUCAUAUUUUGAUGUUAAUUUGUCUUUGGCCUCUGUAUUUACUCUGUAGCAAACAUGUGCCUUGGUCUAUAAUGGAAUUACAGAACAUUUAAUGAAGAGGGCCUCAUUCACAGGAGGUUGGUUGGUGGCACCUUAAUUGGUGAGGACAGGCUCCAGGUAAUGACUGGAGCGGAAUCCGUGGAAUGGGAUCAAAUACAUCAAACACGUGGUUUCCGUGGUUUCCAUGUGUUUGAUGCCAUUCCAUUUGCUCCGUUCUGGCCAUUAUUAUGAGCCGUGCUCCCCUCAGCAGCCUCCGCUGGUUUAAGUUCACUGUCAGACUCUAUGGUGCAUUUUGUAAAACAGUAAUUAGAAAACAGGACAAAAUUGGGAUACAACAACUAUCAGGAGAAUUGCAUAGGUAAAUUAUACACCAUAAAAAUCAUCAAAUCAAAACCAUUCUACAUGUACAGCCAUAGACAUCAGUGUACACAAACAGCACUACUUGUUUUGUGCUUUGAGCACCAUAGUAAUUCAACUACUUUCCUCAGUCCCAAAGUCCUGUUUCCUGUAAUACAGCUGAAUGCUUUUCAUUGCAGCAGUCAAACAUAAUCCUUAUAUUUAUCAUAGUUAUCUUUAUUUUUUGGAAUGUAAAGACUGCAAAAAAAAGUUACAAUAUUUUUUGUAAAAAAAUAAAAUGUUAAACUUAUUUACAGUUAAAUAAAAGCAACCAUUUUGA